rnacentral:rRNA from 1 species
CUACGGGCUGCUGCAGUGAGGAAUAUUGCACAAUGGGGGGAACCCUGAUGCAGCAACGCCGCGUGGAGGAUGACGCAUUUCGGUGUGUAAACUCCUUUUAUAUGUCAAGAAAACGACGGUAGCAUAUGAAUAAGCACCCGCUAACUCCGUGCCAGCAGCCGCGGUAAUACGGAGGGUGCAAGCGUUAACCGGAAUCACUGGGCGUAAAGGACGCGUAGGCGGGUUGGAAAGUCAGGUGUGAAAUCCUACAGCUUAACUGUAGAACUGCACUUGAAACUUCUAAUCUAGAGUAUGGGAGGGGGAGAUGGAAUUAGUGGUGUAGGGGUAAAAUCCGUAGAUAUCACUAGGAAUACCUAAAGCGAAGGCGAUCUCCUGGAACAUUACUGACGCUAAGGCGUGAAAGCGUGGGGAGCAAACAGGAUUAGAUACCCCCGUAGUC